rnacentral:rRNA from 1 species
CGUACACUCCUGCGGGAGGCAGCAGUGGGGAAUUUUGGACAAUGGGCGAAAGCCUGAUCCAGCCAUGCCGCGUGCAGGAUGAAGGCCUUCGGGUUGUAAACUGCUUUUGUACGGAACGAAACGGCCUUUUCUAAUAAAGAGGGCUAAUGACGGUACCGUAAGAAUAAGCACCGGCUAACUACGUGCCAGCAGCCGCGGUAAUACGUAGGGUGCAAGCGUUAAUCGGAAUUACUGGGCGUAAAGCGUGCGCAGGCGGUUAUGUAAGACAGUUGUGAAAUCCCCGGGCUCAACCUGGGAACUGCAUCUGUGACUGCAUAGCUAGAGUACGGUGGAGGGGGAUGGAAUUCCGCGUGUAGCAGUGAAAUGCGUAGAUAUGCGGAGGAACACCGAUGGCGAAGGCAAUCCCCUGGACCUGUACUGACGCUCAUGCACGAAAGCGUGGGGAGCAAACAGGAUUAGAAACCCUUGUAGUCCC